rnacentral:rRNA from 1 species
ACCAACAGAAACGGCGUCCCAGUUCGGAUUGCAGCCUGCAACUCGGCUGCAUGAAGCUGGAAUCGCUAGUAAUCGCGGAUCAGAAUGCCGCGGUGAAUACGUUCCCGGGUCUUGUACACACCGCCCGUCACACCAUGGGAGUCGGGAAUGCCCGAAGUCAGUGACCCAACCGAAAGGGGGGAGCUGCCGAAGGCAGGCCUGGUAACUGGGGUGAAGUCGUAACAAGGUAGC